UACAGUGGCGUACGGGUGAGUAACACGUGGGUAAUCUACCUUUUAGUGAGGAAUAACCAAGGGAAACUUUGGCUAAUACCGCAUAAGCCUGAGAAGGGAAAGCAGCAAUGCGCUGAAAGAGGAGCCCGCGGCCGAUUAGCUAGUUGGUGAGGUAAAAGCCCACCAAGGCAUAGAUCGGUAGCCGGCCUGAGAGGGCACACGGCCACACUGGCACUGAAACACGGGCCAG
rnacentral:rRNA from 1 species